GACAUGCGAUAAGUAAUGUGAAUUGCAGAAUUCAGUGAAUCAUCGAAUCUUUGAACGCACAUUGCGCCCGCCAGUAUUCUGGCGGGCAUGCCUGUCCGAGCGUCAUUUCAACCAUCAAGCCCCCGGGCUUGUGUUGGGGACCUGCGGCUGCCCGCAGGCCCUGAAAACCAGUGGCGGGCUCGCUGUCACACCGAGCGUAGUAGCAAUCACCUCGCUCAGGGCGUGCUGCGGGUUCCGGCCGUUAAACAGCCUUACAAAACCCAAGGUUGACCUCGGAUCAGGUAGGAAGACCCGCUGAACUUAAGC
rnacentral:misc_RNA from 1 species